GAACUAUCCAUUAAGUUAUACAUUAUUUGAUUUUUUUUUUGUGAACCGCAAUACAUCGCCAACCAUUAACCUAUUGUUCAAACUAAAGCGAUAACAGCCUUCACUUGUGGAUUGUGGAACUUGGCCAGCAUGAUUAAAUGUUACAAUUUCGCAACUCCAAACUUCCCUUGUGUCCACAGCCCUAACAGAAAUACUUUCAGUCUUGACAUUGAGAACAAACUUCGAUGGUGUG
rnacentral:lncRNA from 1 species